rnacentral:lncRNA from 1 species
CCGGGGACUCGUGUCAAUACUAGACUUUUGUGAGGUUUCUAACUUGUGUAGACUUGAUUUUGUAUAUAGAACUAACUCUUUUCUUGUAAAUAGCAUUUUUGGUUUAAUUGGGCUAAUUUGUGGCUUUAGCCUAGUUGUGUCUAAGUGUAUGCAGGGGGAUGUUCACACAAGGAGGACUGCAGCCUCAAAAGCAUCAUGUAGACCCUGAGAUGAAGGACUUAUNGGACACAAGGAGACAACUAGCUUGAGCACAACAAGCUGCCCCAAAUUCUCCCUUCUCUGGUGAUGCUCCAAGUGCUAAGUGAAAGUAGAAGAAGAAUGGGAGAAGCAAAAGAGAAAGANUAGUCACCACCACCCUUUGAUGAGAGACAAAGAACUCAAGCCUUGCAAGCCUAAGUUGAUCAAGAGGAGUGAGUAAUUUAAAGAUGUCAAGGUAGUGGAAGGGAAAAGAU